GCGCUUGUAGCUCAGCUGGAUAGAGUGACUGGCUACGAACCAGUAGGUCGGGGGUUCGAGUCCCUCCAAGCGCGCCA
rnacentral:tRNA from 10 species